CUAGCUCUUCUCUCACUUUCUCUGCCUCCCAGCUGCCCUGGGCUGAGCAGUAAUCCUCUGUGAUGCCCUUCCGCCAUGAAAUUCUGCCUUACUCAGGACCAGGGCUAUGGAAUUGGAGGACCAUGGACUGAACCUCCGAAACAGUGAGCCCAAGAUUUUUGUCCUCUGAGUUGUUCUUGUCAGGUAUUUUGGUCACAGCAACGAAAUGUUUUCUUUGAGAUCCUGUGUCCAAUUUUCCUUCCUUUUAUAAGGAUGCCAGUUAUUGUAUUUGGGGCUCACUCUAUUCCAGUGUGAGUUUAUCUCUAUUUGUUUAUAUCUGCAAUAACCCUAUUUCCAAAUAAGGUCACAUGCACAGGUACCAGGAGUUAGGACUUGACUAUAUCUUUUGGGGGACACAAUUCACCCUCCUAUACAACCAAUUUCAGAGCUGGGCGUGGGGGCGUACACCUGUAAUCCUAGCAGCUCGAGGAUCUAGGAGGAUCGAGGAGGAUCACCAGUUCAAAGCCAGCCUCAGCAACUUAUCUAAGCAACUCAGUGAGACCCUGUCUCUAAAUAAAAUACAAAAUAAGGUUGGGGUUGAGUGCCUCUGAGUUCAACCCCUCGUACUCCCCACCACCUCCCCACCACCCAAAAAAAUCCAAUAUCAGUCUUCACCUUCCUGUUUUUCCUUCUUGGCCUUAGGUUCUAAAGAACUUCCCCACUAGAAGUCUCGAUGUAGGGCUGGGGAUGUAGCUCGUUGGUAGAGUGCUUGCCUUGCAUGCACAAGGCCCUGGCUUCAAACCACUACCAACAACAACAACAAAAAAAUAGUCUUGCUGUAAUCCAGAUGGCCGCGGCAAUUCCAAAUCAGUCUGGAGCUGGGGUUGCCAGCAGGAGUCUGCCCUCUCCCUUUCUACCGUUUAGAGAUUCUCAUGGCACUUCCCAGGGGGAGGAGACAGAGAGAGGCAGGUGGAGGCGGGAAGCCAGAGAGUGGCAUGGAUAAGCGCUUGGACUUUGUAACUCUGUAACUCUGGGCGAGCUUUCUACACCUCAUUUACUUACCGUUUUCUUCAGCUGUCAAGUGUGGAUAAUAAAUCUAUCAUCCUUAUUAGUGUUCAUGACAACCCACUUGUAACACACUCAGCCCAGUGGUAUCCGUGGCUGCUACCUUGGUUGUCCUUACUGUGGCUUCCACUUCUCCCUGAAGCAAGUUUUUCUUUCUUCCUUCCUUCCUUCCUUCCUUCCUUCCUUCCUUUCUUUCUUUCUUCAGUUUGUUUUUGUUUUCAUUCGUUUGUUUUGUUUUAGUGCUGGGGGUGCAACCCAGGCCUCGUAUAUGCUAUGUGCAUGGUCUACCAUGAGUUAGUCCCUCAGCCUCCUGGCCCUUUUUAUUUUGAGACUGUCUUACUAAAUUGCCCAGGUUGGCCUUGAAUUUGCUUCCAAGUCACUGGCAUACAGGCCCAGGCCUCUCAGCUAGAGGCUACUGUUUUGAAUGAAGCUGCAGUAGGGCCAAACAGACCAGGCUGAAAGUCAAAAUGGAGUCACUCAUGCUAAAAGUUAAACCUACAUAAAUAUAAAAUAUAAAUAUAAAUAUAAAUAUAAAAUAAGAUAUUGUGUCCACCUAUAAUUAAAAAUAAUUUAAAAAAAAUUAAACCUAAGCUGGUAGUUGACCUUUUGAGAAAUCAAUAUUAUAUAGAGAGAUAAUAGCAAAUUUUUGCCGGGCAUGGUGGUGCACGCCUGUAAUUCCAGUGACUCAGAAGGCUGGGGCAUGUGGAUCACAAGUUUGAGAAUAACCUCAGCAACUUAAUAAGAACCUGUCUUAAAAUAAAAAAUAAAAAGGGUUGGGCAUGUUGCUCAGUGGUUAAGCACCCCCAGGUUCAAUUCCUGGUACCAAAAAAAAGGGCAAAUUUUGCAAACAGGUCAGUUUCAACUGGCAUGAAAAUUUAAUCCUUUCACAAUGAAAGUAACCUGAUGCUAACCAAUUCAGUCAUUUUCCUAUUGUUCUGGAUCUCAGUCCCAGCCUUAUAAGAAAAGUAACUUGGAAAUAACAAGUCCUUGUUUUGUUUGUUUGUUUCUGCUUUUUUUUUUUUUUUUGGUACUUAUUUAUUUCGAGGCAGGGUCUCACUAAAUUGUUAGGGCCUUGUUAAAAGACUGAGGCUGGCCUUGAACCUGUGAUCCUCCUGCCUUAGGACCCCAAGUUGCUGGGAUUACAGGCAUGCACCACCAUACCUGGCAACAGUAGUACUUCUCAGGAAGUUCCAAGGGUUAUAAGGAUUGAAAGUGACAGACAAGAAACCCUCUAGAUCUGUAAUUUCUAAUUUUUAAGUAAUGGAACUUUUUUUUUUCCUUUUCUUUUUCUUUUUGAGAUGGGUUCUCCUUAUGUUCCCCAGGCUGGUAACAAAUUUUCCCACCUCUGCCUCCAGAGUAGCUGUUGAGCUUAUUUUUUUAGAAGUCCAAGUGUUUUUUUGCAGGGCAUGAUGGUGCGUGCCUCUAAUUCCAGCUACUCAGGAGGCUGAGGCAGGAGGAUCACAUGAUCAAGGCCACCUCAGCAAUUUAGUGAGACUCUGUCUCAAAUGCUGGGUUCGAUCCUCAGCACCACAUACAAAUAAAAUAAAGAUGUUGUGUCCACCGAAAACUAAAUAAUAAAUAUUAAAAAAUAUUCUCUCUCUCUUUAAAAUAAAUAAAUAAUAAAAAAAUAAAAAUAAAAAAGAGCUGGGAAUGUAACUCAAUGGUAAAGUGUCUCUGGGUUCAAUCUCUGGUACCCCAAACAGAACAAUAGCUUCCUUUAUUUAUUUAUUUAUUUUAGCAAUGGGUUUGAUGAGUAUACUUCAAACUUGGAAAAAUCCAGACAUUUCCAUUUUUCUGUAUAUAAGCAAAAACAAAAUGUAUUGUAUCGUUUUUAUGUGAAUGCUUUGGAUAAAUGAAGAAAUGGAGUGGAGUACCACAGAUGGUUUGGUAACUUUCAUUUGUUACAAUACAGUUCAUUUUGAGAGUUCUCACUUGUCAAGUCUACAAAUCUGGUUUGUCCUUCAGUUCUUUGGAUUGCACCAUAAAGGUGCCAUGCUUAAAUUAGGUCAUUUCAACUGAAUGAAAGCCCUUGCCCCUUCUCACACUGCCGGCAGCUGGACGCUUUGCUGAGGGGGCCCUGAGAUGUUUUCAGGAAGCCUCCCAAGCUUUUAGACUUCCUCUGGUUGAAGAAGCCCAGGUCCUGGGGAGUUUCACUUUGAAAGUGGGGCCACCCACAGACUCAGAAGAUCAAGGACUUCCCCCAAGCCACCUGUCUCAGGGGCAGGAAAGACCCAGCAGAGUCCCAGGAGCUUGCUGUGACCCACAGUUCCUGGGCAAGUCCUCCUCAAUUCUGUUUUGCCCCCAGGGCCUAUCAGUGGUGAAAGAUAAAAAGAGAAGUAAAAUAAACACCAUAAAUAGGGUAAAGGUUUCUGAAUAAAGAGGCAGCUGUAAAACAAAACAGACUAUAAAAAUAUAAAGAGAUUAAAACCCUUUUGGGGCUAGACCUUGAUCUAAACAAGGACUCUCCAAGAACAGGACCUCAGGAUGGAGGCUGGGAGUACUUCCCUAAGAAAGCACCCCCUCCUCCCUGCAGGAAGUACUCCUCCUGGCUGGAGUGGCCUGGGCUCCUCUUAAGGGCCUCCUUUUUUAGGGCCGCUCAGUGGACUCACAGGGCUGAACUUUUUCCAAAUCAGUGGCUACACAUGUGAAUCUUAAAAGAAAAAACAAUUUCCCAGUGGUACAGUGGUUCAAUUGAGGUGGGGAGGUGUGUGAUCAACACUAUGAAUUAACAAUACCCUGGCUGAUUCGUGCUGUUUGCCAAUUUCCAUGGUGUAAAUACUCCUCCCUGACUGAUUUUAACUUACUAAUGCUUUACUAAUUGGCUUAUAAAUUAAUUCAGUAUUCAGAAAUUGGCACACAUUUAGAAACUCUGGUUUUUCUAUUUUGCUAAGAAUUUCCAAUACGUACCAUGAACACUGAAAUUCAGAGCAGAUCAAAGUUCAAUAAAUUUGGCUAAGAGCUGAAGGAAAUGAAGUCAGCAUACAAAGGAGAUACCUGAAUUCCCAUGGAUUUUGUUUUUAUUGUUGUUCAUUUGUGGUGUUUUUUUUUUUUUCUGUAGGUGAUUGAUGUCAGGGUACUCCACCACUGAGCCACAUCCACAACAUUUUUAUCUAUCUAUCUAUCUGUCUAUCUAGUUGAGAUAUCUCUCUAAAUUGCUGAGGCUGUCUCAAACUUGUGAUCUUUUUGCCUCAGACUUCCAAAUAGCUGGGAUUACAGGUGUGCACCACCAUGCCUGGCUUCCACUCCAUGUUUAUUGUGGCACUGUUCAUAAUCACCAAGAUAUGGAAACAGUCUAGGUGCCCAUCAACAGAUGAAUGCAUAAAGAAAACAUGAUGCUGUAUUAAUUACUUGGCAUAAAGAAGAAUGAGAUCUUGCCAUUUGCAGGAAAAUGUGUGGAACUGGAGGUCAUUGCCUUAAGUGCAAAAAACCAGACACAGAAAGACAAGUUCUCAAGUUUUCUCUCAUAUGUGGACAUUUAAAAAAGAAGUGGGAAAAAAAGAUUACCUGAAAAUAGAAGAGGGAUUAUUAUGGACUGUGAAGGGGGUCAAAGGAGGGAGGAGUGAGAGAGGAAGGAGGGAGAGGGCCCAAGGAAGGGUGGACAUGAUCACUGCAGAUGUAAAGUAUGUAAGGAAAUGUCACAGUGAAACCCAUUAAUGUGUACAAUUAAUACAUGUUGAUAAAUUUAAAAAGCAUUAAAUUAUUGAUUGUCAAACAAUUUACAAAGCAAUUUUCUUAAGAUCAUUUCAGAAAGUUUAUAGCAAAAAAUAUUUCAUGUGGGUUGCAGGAGUGUGUGUGGUCUUUUUGUUUGUUUGUUUCUUUUUUCUGUAAUCCUGGGAAUGAAGCCCAGGGACACUUUAGCACUGAGUCACAUCCCCAGCCCUUUUUGUUUUUUGAGACAGGGUCUUGCUAAGUUGCCCAGGAUGCCUUGAACUUGCACUCCUCCUGCCUCGGCCUCCUGAGUAGCUGGGAUUAAGGCGUGUGUCACCAUGCCCAGUUUACAGGCAUGUUCUAGUAUGCUUGAUAUGAUAUGCAAGAGUCCUAAAAAAGGAAGUAUUUCCAGGGCCUACCGAAGAAACAUAAAGAGAGUCCCCACUUUGGGGAAGUGAACAAAAGCAGCACCCACUAACUGUUGAUGUUCUCUGCAGGAUCCGUAGAAGUCCACUGAGCAUGUUCACCGGGAAGGAAACUGGAAUUCCUAGAGGUAAAGCCACUUGCCCACAGCCAAGUCUCAAUUAGAACUAGAGAUGUUGGUGUGUGUGUGUGUGUGUGUGUGUGUGCGUGCGCGCACGCGCGCGUAUGCGUGCAUGCACAUGUGUUGCAUGCAUAGUGCUGUGGAUGGAAUCGAGGACUUCAUGCAUGCUAAGCAUGUGCUCUGUGACUGAACUGUAUACCCAGGUCCUCAGCACUGUGGACAGAAGAACUCAGCCUGCUUUAAAACAUACCAAAAGGGUCAUACUGAAAGCUCACCCUGGAACAUUCACGGAGGGGCACCCCUUGCUUCUCCCCUUUCUUGACCAUCUGUCGUGCCCUGCAGGUGACCUGGCAGACCACAGUUGAUUCCUCCAGAACACAGGGUGCAAGAACAGGGCUGUGAUCUAGCAGCUUCCUGAUCCCAGUAGAAAGCUUAAUUAUCUCAUUUCCCUGACAGUUCAGCACAUCUCUCCAAGACAGGAGGGGCCAGAGGGCAGGAGGGGUGAAGCCAGGAAAGAUUUCAGAAUGUCUGUUGAAAGUCAGGUCAGGAGAUACAGGGAGUCACAUGGGAUGUGGUUUAGAAGCCAACACUGCUGAUCCCCAGGCAGCCACAUAGUGGGAGCAGCUCCCCGCAACCCUGGGGAAGCCCUGGGUUAUGUAACCCAUGAAGUCAAGAGAGCAGUUGAAAGUUCCCAUGAAGAAAACUUUUUCUCAAGGAAGAGAGCCAUUCCCACAUUUCCCAUGGCCACCCACACCUCCAGGGGUCUCCUUAUAGCUCACUUCAAUCAUUUGCAAAGCUAUCGGACCCUCCUGAGUUAGGGGAAAGUUGAGUCCCUCCCCAACCCCACAUUGGGAAAGAUUUAAGGAUUUCCUGGGAAGCCAGGAAAACUUUCAGAAUGUCUUCUGAGGGUCAGGGAAGGAGGUAUGAGGAGUCACAUGGGAUGUAGAUCCUUGAGGUGAUCAGAAAUCUGAGGUCAGCUGCCUCUUUCCAUAAUUCUGCAUAAUUAGUUUAUGGACCUGCCCUAGGGGUCAGCACUUCCUCAACCAGCCAGAAGUGCCUCAGGAGUGAGCCUGGGGGGAAUAAAGCAGAUGAUUCCCUCUAUUAGCAGUCACUCCAGCCCCCCUGCUGGGCCUGCUGGGCUGGGGGGUGGGGGCAGAAGAAGUGCCCCAAAGAGCCCUCAGGAUAACCUAGGAGUCCUGGCCUCCCACGUCAGACUCAGGGACUGAGGAUUCUGGAGAGGCUCUGUUUUCACACACUCCAUGGCAUGAUCCCUGGGCAGGGUAGCUAGGCACACUGGGGAGGAAGGAAGGGCAGGUUCCCUGUGUACUGGUGAGGGUAUCUGCACCCUCUGGUCCCCAUGGCAACUUGCUGUGUGUUUGAAGUUGUAUGUAGAUUAUGAACACUCCAUCUGGGCUGGGAUUGUGGGUCAGAGGAAGAGCGCUUGCCUAAGUAUGCUUGAGGCACUGGGUUCGAUCCUCAGCACCACAUAAAAAUAAAAUAAAGAUAUUGUGACCACCUAUAACAAAAGAAAGAACACUCCAUCUGGUGAGAGCAGAUGGAACUGGGCAGAAGCACAGUCAGGACUCUGAGUUUUGGCUAUGUGGCUCCCCAUUAUUAAGAAGACAAAUAUAAAAGCCAGAGGGGUCAGGUGAGGGGUGUAUUUGCACAUGUUGUGUGGUAUGUGUAUGUGAUAUAUGUGUGUGUGUUGUGUGAUAUGUGACACAUGUGGUGUAUGUGUGUUGUGGUAUGUGGUAAUGUGCAUGUGGUGUGUGUGAACUGUAUGUGACCUAUGUAGUGUAUGUGUGGUAUAUUUGUGUGUAUGUGUGUGUGUGUGUGUGUGUGUGUCUGGGGCAUUUUUGUGCUAUAUGAUAUGAAGAUUAGAACCUGACUCUAUGUGUGACUAGAAGGGGAUUUUUCAGGGAAGAGACUAAUCAGAGAAAAUGGGAAAUUGAGGUCAGAAUGGAUAAGGGAAUUGAAAAAUAGGGCAAUGUGUGAGUAGGCAGAAAAAGACAAGCUCUUUCUCAAGGACCCACAAGAAUCCCAGAUAGAAGGUCUGAAUCAGCAGGGAGAGAAACCCUGCAGCACAGGGAGGGUUCCUCAGGACCUGAGGGCACCCCCACCUGCAGAAGGGAAAAGAAGGAAGUACUUAGUCAGGAAUAAACUUGGCUACAAGGAACAGAAAGCUUGAUAUGCAGUAUUAAAAAGACAGUGGCUUGUCUCACAUAAUAAAAUAUCUGGAGGUGGGUGGGGCCGGUGCUCAGAAAGUCAGGGCUGGAAGAUCUGGGGGUCUCUUGGCCUUUCCCUGUAGAACUGUGGUUGCUGCAGUUUCAAAUAUCAGGAGACUUUUCACAGCAGGAAGAAAGAGAAGGCAGCUGUCCCAGGAGCACUCCUUCCACUUAGAUCCUACUGGCCAGAAUUGGCUACUUGGCUUCCCCUAACUGCAAGGUAGGCUGGGAAAGCAGAGCGCAGGGUUGCCAUGAUCCAUAGUGUGGCCUGGCUAUUCUUCGGUUGCUCCUAACAAAGACAGGGUGCUAUCAAUAAGGAAGAAGGGGAAAUGGAUAUUGGGGAGGCAAUCAAGCCCUGUAAGGGAGACCGUGGGUGUGAACAUUACUGAUGAAGGCUGAAUUAAGAUAAUAUUCCAAAGUCAAUAUGAAUAAGCUUCAAGAAAACUGUAAGGCCCCACUUUGGGAAUGGUCACCCAAAACCCCAAAGUCAGGGCCCUGGCCCCUUUUUGCAACCCCUCCUGUCUCAAUUACUCUUCAUAGUAACCUCAUGAUGACAUAGAUGCUAUUAUUUUUCCCACACUACAGAUUGUGGGAGACCAACCUUACACGUGACUGGGUUACACGCUCCAGCUGGGUGCUGAGGCGCUCAGACACAGAAAUGUGGCAGAGCUUUCCCCACCCUUCUUGGAUGCGAGGGUCGCUAUCUCAUGCAUGGGUGUGUCUUGCUACAGCCCCAUGGGUGAAGCUACGCUCACCUGUUCCUUUGUAAUAUAACCCCUUGCCCUGUUUAGGAUAGAAUCUUCCAUGGAAGUGCCUUGUGUGUGUCCCCUUCUUUUACUGUGCCCUUGGAUGUGGCCUACCCAGGUGUCAGUCAACCUGCUGACAGUGGACAUCAUGAAGAUAGACUCAGCCCCUGAAACCUGAUCCCCUGCCUCAUUUGAAUAGCUUCCCUCAAUAAAAGGGGUCAGCAGGUGCUCUCGCCUUCUCUCUCUUUCUGCAGACCCUUAAGGUCAGAGGAGCCAUCACAGCGACUCCAAAGAAAAAGGUAUUUGUGUCUCUUGUGUGGCUAUUUUGUGCAGCCCAGUUAGCCCAGUUUAACUAGAGUGACCCCUGAGUCUUUUAGUCUCGAGAACAGAGAAACCCGGCAACAGAUGAGAAAGGAGAGUCUCAGCCCAGUCUGGUAGUGUGCACCUGUAGUCCCAGCUACUGGGUAGGUUGAGGCAGGAGGAUCCAUUGAGUCCCAGGAGUUCAAGGCCAGCCUGGACAACAUAGCCAGACCUUCAUGUCUCAAAAGAAAAAAGAAGGCAGAGAAGAAGAUAAGAAGGAGAUAGAAGAAAAUAAGAUAAAAGGAGAAGAAGAAAAUAAGGAGAAAGAAUGGGGUAGGCCAAGCAGGGGGAGUUGAAUCAUACAUGGCUCAAGAUUAUAAAGCUCUCAUAAUAUCUUCUUUAGCUUUGUGGCCCUAAUCUCUUUGGCUAUUCCUUUUAGGAAGUUAUCCCAUCCUUCUUCACUCAUCUGUGGCCCUCCCACAGGACCAGAACACCAGCAAGGAGGCUUUGAAGUCAGACAGGCCUGUGUGCAUAUCCACGUUCUUCUACUCAGCAGUGUGAGGCCCUGAGCAAACUCCACGGCACUCUGAGCCUCCUAAACAGGGAUAAUUCUCAAGAGGUUGUGGGAUUAAAUAGGAGAUAACAGCAGAGUGCCAAGAAAUGCAGGUAUUUGAUAAACCCCAGUGCCUUCCUAGAGAGAGAGCAAUCUGGAAGCUCUGCCCCAACUAGCCCUGCUCUUAUGAAAACCUAUAUCACAUUGUUUCCCAUCUUUUCCUGAGAAAACCCA
rnacentral:lncRNA from 1 species